ACUCCUACGGGAGGCAGCAGUAGGGAAUCUUCCACAAUGGGCGUAAAGCCUGAUGGAGCAACACCGCGUGAGUGAAGAAGGGUUUCGGCUCGUAAAGCUCUGUUGUUAAAGAAGAACACGUAUGAGAGUAACUGUUCAUACGUUGACGGUAUUUAACCAGAAAGUCACGGCUAACUACGUGCCAGCAGCCGCGGUAAUACGUAGGUGGCAAGCGUUAUCCGGAUUUAUUGGGCGUAAAGAGAGUGCAGGCGGUUUUCUAAGUCUGAUGUGAAAGCCUUCGGCUUAACCGGAGAAGUGCAUCGGAAACUGGAUAACUUGAGUGCAGAAGAGGGUAGUGGGAACUCCAUGUGUAGCGGUGGAAUGCGUAGAUAUAUGGAAGAACACCAGUGGCGAAGGCGGCUACCUGGUCUGCAACUGACGCUGAGACUCGAAAGCAUGGGUAGCGAACAGGAUUAGAUACCCUGGUAGGAUAGCG
rnacentral:rRNA from 1 species